CCUACGGGAGGCUGCAGUGGGGAAUAUUGCACAAUGGGGGAAACCCUGAUGCAGCGACGCCGCCUGAGUGAAGAAGUAAUUCGUUAUGUAAAGCUCUAUCAGCAGGGAAGAAAAUGACGGUAUCUGUGUAAGAAGCCCCGGCUAACAAUGUGCCAGCAGCGGCGGUAAUACGUAGGGGGCAAGCGUUAUCCGGAUGUACUGGGUGUAAAGGGAGCGUAGACGGCAGUGCAAGCCUGGAGUGAAAGGCCGGGGCUCAACCCCCGGACUGCACUGGAAACUGUACGGCUGGAGUGCAGGAGAGGUAAGUGGAAUUCCUAGUGUAGCGGUGAAAUGCGUAGAUAUUAGGAGGAACACCAGUGGCGAAGGCGGCUUACUGGACUGUAACUGACGUUGAGGCUCGAAAGCGUGGGGAGCAAACAGGAUUAGAUACCCGUGUAGUC
rnacentral:rRNA from 1 species